rnacentral:rRNA from 1 species
GUGUCAGCAGCCGCGGUAAGACAGAGGAGGCUAGCGUUGUUCGGAAUCACUGGGCUUAAAGCGGGUGUAGGCGGCCUGGCAAGUGUCGUGUGAAAGCCCCCGGCUCAACCGGGGAAUUGCAUGGCAAACUGCCAGGCUUGAGGUCGGUAGGGGUGCCUGGAACUCUCGGUGGAGCGGUGAAAUGCGUAGAUAUCGAGAGGAACGCCGGAGGCGAAAGCGGGGCACUGGGCCGAUUCUGACGCUGAGACCCGAAAGCGUGGGGAGCAAACAGGAUGAGAUACCCUGGUAGUCCACGCCCUAAACGAUGCCUACUAGGUUGUGGAGGUUCUGACGCCUUCGCAGCCGAAGCAAAAGUGUUAAGUAGGCCGCCUGGGGAGUACGGUCGCAAGGCUAAAACUUAAAGGAAUUGACGGGG